rnacentral:rRNA from 1 species
UAGCGGCAGGCUUAACACAUGCAAGUCGAGGGGUAUAGUUCUUCGGAACUAGAGACCGGCGCACGGGUGCGUAACGCGUAUGCAAUCUACCUUUCACAAAGGGAUAGCCCAGAGAAAUUUGGAUUAAUACCUCAUAGUAUGUGAGGAUGGCAUCAUUUUCACAUUAAAGUCACAACGGCAAAAGAUGAGCAUGCGUCCCAUUAGCUAGUUGGUAAGGUAACGGCUUACCAAGGCUACGAUGGGUAGGGGUCCUGAGAGGGAGAUCCCCCACACUGGUACUGAGACACGGACCAGACUCCUACGGGAGGCAGCAGUGAGGAAUAUUGGACAAUGGGCGCAAGCCUGAUCCAGCCAUGCCGCGUGCAGGAUGACGGUCCUAUGGAUUGUAAACUGCUUUUGUACAGGAAGAAACACUACUUCGUGAAGUAGCUUGACGGUACUGUAAGAAUAAGGAUCGGCUAACUCCGUG